rnacentral:ncRNA from 1 species
CUAUGACAUAAAUUGUGUCAUGGCGGAAGGAG